GGCAGCAGCUAAGAAUAUUCCGCAAUGGACGAAAGUCUGACGGAGCGACGCCGCGUGGAUGAUGAAGGCCGGAAGGUUGUAAAAUCCUUUUAUGACUGAGGAAUAAGUUCUCUGAGAGAAACGGAGGAUGGUGACUGUAGGUCAUGAAUAAGCAACGGCUAAUUACGUGCCAGCAGCCGCGGUAACACGUAAGUUGCGAGCGUUGUUCGGAAUUAUUGGGCGUAAAGGGCAUGUAGGCGGUUAUGCAAGUCUGGUGUGAAAUGCCGGGGCUUAACCCCGGAACUGCGUUGGAAACUGCAUAACUUGAGUCGCUGAGGGGCAGCCAGAAUUCCAGGUGUAGGGGUGAAAUCUGUAGAUAUCUGGAAGAAUACCAAUGGCGAAGGCAGGCUGCCAGCAGAUGACUGACGCUGAGGUGCGAAGGUGCGGGGAGCAAACAGGGUUAGAUACCCUGGUAGUCCGCACAGUCAACUAUGUACACUAGGUGUCCGUUCAUGAGAAUGGGUGCCGAAGCAAACGCGAUAAGUGUACCGCCUGGGGAGUAUGCCCGCAAGGGUGAAACUCAAAGGAAUUGACGG
rnacentral:rRNA from 1 species